CACUCCUGCGGGAGGCAGCAGUAGGGAAUCUUCGGCAAUGGGGGCAACCCUGACCGAGCAACGCCGCGUGAGUGAAGAAGGUUUUCGGAUCGUAAAGCUCUGUUGUAAGUCAAGAACGAGUGUGAGAGUGGAAAGUUCACACUGUGACGGUAGCUUACCAGAAAGGGACGGCUAACUACGUGCCAGCAGCCGCGGUAAUACGUAGGUCCCGAGCGUUGUCCGGAUUUAUUGGGCGUAAAGCGAGCGCAGGCGGUUUGAUAAGUCUGAAGUUAAAGGCUGUGGCUCAACCAUAGUUCGCUUUGGAAACUGUCAAACUUGAGUGCAGAAGGGGAGAGUGGAAUUCCAUGUGUAGCGGUGAAAUGCGUAGAUAUAUGGAGGAACACCGGUGGCGAAAGCGGCUCUCUGGUCUGUAACUGACGCUGAGGCUCGAAAGCGUGGGGAGCGAACAGGAUUAGAUACCCUUGUAGUCCC
rnacentral:rRNA from 1 species